CUCUUGGGGUGAUGGACUAUCUCGCUAUCAUAAUGCACUGAACAAGGAUCUGGGAUAGGAACUGGGCAGGUGGAUGAGUGUCCAGGGACCCAGCCAUGGAAAGGGACCUGAACCCAGAGGAAGACAUGCAGAAAAUAAUUUUAGAUUUCUUAAUCCAAAUAGAGAAGGCUUCACCUCUGCUGCCUUUGCACACAGAGAUUCUUCACUAAUCAUAAGACAGAUUCCAUUUCUUACUGAAAUUUUUUGAUGAAGACAGGUUUCCCACUGGAUCCUUGAGACUUGAUAGCAAACACCAACAUAUUACAAUCCUGUGAAUCCUGCCCCUGGUUCAGGGCAAUCUGUUUUCCAACCCACACAGUGGUGUUUAGGCUGCAUGACUUCAGGAAGAAGCACAAUUAGAUGCCUCUGCGUCGCCUCCCACCUCAAAGGAAAGCAGAAUAUUAGAAAGAGGCACUAGAAUUGGUCAGGAAGAAGAAAAUUAUUUUAUCUUCAGACUCUUUGACCAAUGGAAAAAUUUGCAUGGACCUGAUGAAUGGUUAACUUGUUCACAUGAUAUAGAUUUUUGGGUUGAUGUAAAUGAUCUGUCUUUUGCAGUC
rnacentral:lncRNA from 1 species